rnacentral:rRNA from 1 species
CACAGGAGGGUGCGAGCGUUGUUCGGAAUUAUUGGGCGUAAAGGGCGCGUAGGCGGUGCGGUAAGUCACCUGUGAAAUCUCCUGGCUCAACUGGGAGCUUGCAGGCGAAACUGCCGUGCUGGAGUGUGGGAGAGGUGCGUGGAAUUCCUGGUGUAGCGGUGAAAUGCGUUAGAUAUCAGGAGGAACACCUGUGGCGAAAAGCGGCGCACUGGACCACAACUGACGCUGAGGCGCGAAAGCUAGGGGAGCAAACAGG